AUUGAACGCUGGCGGCAGGCCUAACACACGCAAGUCGAGCCGAUGAAGGGAGCUUGCUCCUGGAUUCAGCGGCGGACGGGUGAGUAAUGCCUAGGAAUCUGCCUGGUAGUGGGGGAUAACGUCCGGAAACGGGCGCUAAUACCGCAUACGUCCUGAGGGAGAAAGUGGGGGAUCUUCGGACCUCACGCUAUCAGAUGAGCCUAGGUCGGAUUAGCUAGUUGGUGGGGUAAAGGCCUACCAAGGCGACGAUCCGUAACUGGUCUGAGAGGAUGAUCAGUCACACUGGAACUGAGACACGGUCCAGACUCCUACGGGAGGCAGCAGUGGGGAAUAUUGGACAAUGGGCGAAAGCCUGAUCCAGCCAUGCCGCGUGUGUGAAGAAGGUCUUCGGAUUGUAAAGCACUUUAAGUUGGGAGGAAGGGCAGUAAGUUAAUACCUUGCUGUUUUGACGUUACCAACAGAAUAAGCACCGGCUAACUUCGUG
rnacentral:rRNA from 1 species